rnacentral:rRNA from 1 species
GGUCCUACGGGAGGCAGCAGUGGGGAAUAUUGCACAAUGGGGGCAACCCUGAUGCAGCGACGCCGCGUGAGUGAAGAAGUAUUUCGGUAUGUAAAGCUCUUUCAGCAGGGAAGAUAAUGACGGUACCUGAGUAAGAAGCCCCGGCUAACUACGUGCCAGCAGCCGCGGCACUACGUAGGGGGCAAGCGUUAUCCGGAUUUACUGGGUGUAAAGGGAGCGUAGACGGCAUGGCAAGUCUGAAGUGGAAGCCCGGG